UUGUCUUAAGACUAAAGGUUGCACAAGCCUGAUACCCAACAGUACCCUGACUGGCAGACGUUGCGCUGGGUACCUUUUGGUGCUUAGUUUGCACUUGUCUGAGCCGCAUUCUAUUGAUGACUAGGAUGCAGAGUGUAUGCUAGCCAUUCCUAUACCACAAGGGAUUCAAGUAGGAAAAUGUAAUUGUUGAAAUGCAUGAGGAGCAUUCAACAGCCUACAAGGGGUCAUUGAGAUUAGGAAUAUAUAUUAAAGGGGAAUUCUACCACACAUGCAUGGUGUAUCUACAGGAUGCCUCGUGCCCAUUAGGUGCCACACCCAUUGAGAACAGGGGUCCCCCGACAACCCCACUGGGCCUGCUGUGAGGAAAGGCAGCUGCUUGAUCCAGUAACUUCUCCUGCAAUUCAGAAAAACCCAAACGUGCUAAACUUAAUGCAGAGUAAACCCGGCUCAGUUGACGCAUGUGCCACAUUUAUCCCAGGGGCUCCUGCUAGAUAAGUCUGGAGCAUGGCUGGACAGGUGUCUAAUGUCAGAGGCUAGAUGGCCAAAUAUCAGUGCAUGUUAUGACAGGCUAGGCGCAGCCAUUAUGUGGAGCACCAUUAUGGCCACCUUAUGCUUGUGUUACUCCACCCCAAUACACUCAGCCAAGCAUGACACAGCAG